rnacentral:rRNA from 1 species
GACGCACAGUGCGAGCGUUAUUCGGAAUUACUGGGCGUAAAGGGCGCGUAGGCGGCCUGUGCAAGUCAGUUGUGAAAUCUCCGAGCUUAACUCGGAACGGUCAACUGAUACUGCUCGGCUAGAGUGCGGAAGGGGCAACUGGAAUUCUUGGUGUAGCGGUGAAAUGCGUAGAUAUCAAGAGGAACACCUGCGGCGAAGGCGGGUUGCUGGGCCGACACUGACGCUGAGGCGCGAAAGCUAGGGGAGCGAACGGG